CGAUUUAUUACUGACUACAAUGGAUUGGGACUCGAUGAAUUGGGUUUAAAUGCUAUGGUUUUUGAGUCGCUGAAAUCUGUUUUAGGAUUAACAUGACUUGUAUUUAGAAGCACUUUUUUUCGUAUGCAUUUUUCACUCAUUUGCCAUUGUUAUUACAACAUAUUGAACCUUGUAGUUUUUCUUUUUCCCAAGUGUUUCUAGUAUUUGCAUUAUCUAUCUGCAAUGAAUCUUAGAGCAAUUAAUAUUGUAAAUCGGGAUUGUUAUGUGUAUUUUGAUCUGUUGAUUGAGUAGAACUGUGCAUGUAGAGGGUCGGGUUUUAAUGUUCAUAGUGCUAACACAUUCAUCUUUUUCACAGUUGGUGCUGAAGCAAAUGAUGACAGGCUUCAGUUUCUUCUCAAGAAAGUUCAGGGAAGCUGCUCUUGAUUUGGUAGCUGUGAUGUCAGUGGAGAAUUAUGUUUAAUUUUUGACUUCUCUGUAUAUGUUGCAUAAGGAUAAAUUUUAAGAUUAAGGACUGAUGUCGAAUUCAAUUUGGGGCAAAUCUCAGACACAUGAGCCAAGCCUUGGGCAUAGACAUAUCAUAAUCGUUUCUUCAAUCGCAUAUCAUUUGCCUUCAUACAGUCGUGAUUCAUGCUAAAGA